GGAUAUGCUGAGGGGAACCCAGGUAGCUGCUGCAUGCACAGUGGGUUUGUGUCACAGCAUCAAUUACUUUGGAUAAAUGCCCACCUCUAUACUGAGUGACCCUGGUAGACUGCCAACCACCAGACACAUGUGAAGCAAAAAUGCAUAGAACAGUAACUGGCACAGAGCAAAGGGAUAUGUUAAGUAUUAGUUAUGUUAAUUGUAAGUAUUUGUUAUAUUAAUAAAAUUGAUUAAACUC